AUUUCAACCAGAUUUUAUUCUACCUUAUGACAUAUAAAGACUAUGGCUUAUAAAACUUUAGAAAUAAUUUUCAGUCAAAGAUAUGCUUUUAAUAAAAUCAAACAAGCAUUUAUAAAAUCGAUUAUGCAUUUAUAAAAUCAUAAAAGGUUUUUAAAACUUUGAUAGUUACAAAAUAAAUAUUAAUAGUCAAGGAUAUGCAAUGAAUGAUUUUAAUUUCGAUUUUAUUGAUGGGUUGACUGAUUUUAGGAGUUCUGGCCGAAAAUGGCACAACAAGGGAUUGAUGGAAUUUUGUUUUGGCCAGAUUAUACACUUAUGUUUAUCACAUCUGGUAAAAUGGCCAAACAAAAGGAUUGAAUCAAAAGGUUUAAGCUUUCUCUAAUAAUUUUAUGAUUCAUAAGUUUUUAUAAACAAGAUUCAUGUAGAUCUUUAGGUAUUUUGAUAAGUUUAUAAGUUUUUUAGAGAAACAUAGAACCUUUAGAGAAUUUUAAGUUUUAUGGAUUCAAGAUACUUUUAGAAUCAAGUUUCAUAUGGAUCAUAUGGAUCAUAGAAACAAGAUCAAUAUUUUAAAUCCAUAGAUUGUUUAUAAGUUAUGGAUUCAUAUAGAUCCUAGAUUUGUUUCAGACAUAAUGGUGUUCUAUAGAUUUCAAGGUUUUGAUUUGUUUACCUUUUUCACCACAAGAAUCUGAGAGGACCACCGUGAGAGUUGGCCGGAAUUUGAGAGAGAGAGGAGUUUUCCGGCGGAGAGAGAGAGGUGGCCUGGUGGAGAGGAGGCUAAGCGCCGGUGGAGCAAAGGCUGAGCACCGGAGGAGCUGGCCAGAAAGAGGAUCGCCGGCUGAGAGAGAUUUCUCAGGUGGAGAGCACAUUCGUGCUGAUAACGUGUUAGAAAUAUGAGAGAAGUGUUGUUGUGAAAGUUGUGUCUUUCUCAUUAGCUCUCACUAUCAAUAUAUAGUGGAGGUUCAUAAGGGUUUACAACAAGGAGAGUAUCUACACAUUUAUUACAUAUUGACCACAAAGAUAUAGUCUUGGUCAAAUCUCAUAAAUGCUCCGGUUGAAUGAGUCUUCAUCUUGACUAGUCUUGGACGGAUGAGACAAACCGGAGACGGGUGUAAACGGACCGGAUAGUCGGGUCAGAUGUAAACCUCCUUGAUGGUUAAUGGCAAUCGACAUUUAUCAUGGAUUUAUAACAGUUUCUAAAAUUUAACGUGAACCCAACCCAAGGCAUUGCUUGUUUUUCCUUCGGAUAGGGGCUAUAGCAAAGGAAGACGUCACCGUUUUGUUUGCAGUAAGAAAAGUGAAAAAGGAAUAUUUAUCUGAGGAUUUGAACUAUGCAAGAUUGGAUUACUUCUAUUUCAUGAUCGGUGGAGUCUUAGCAGUUAGUUUUGCUUACUUCUUCUGUCCAAGCUCUCGCAACCGGCGCUCCUGUCCUAGGUCUCGCAACCGGCGCUCCUGCCCAAAAUCCAGUACCUGCCGAAGCUGCCUUGCCUCCUUCUGACGGAUUUGUCAUCUCUUUCCCUGACGGAAGGCUGUUGCGUACAAACGAAGUGGAGGCUUUGAUUCAGGGGCCAGUUGAUGUUUUUUUGGGUUGUGGUCGUCCUUUGCUCUCUUGCUUUUCCCGAGUCGUUUUUAUGACUGGUGGCAUUGUCAAUUUGCACCAUGGUGGUACCAUUUUCUUCUUAGACCGUAGCAUGAUCGAAGUGCCUUACAGUUGUGAAAUUGCAGUUCCCGUCGGUGCUAUCAUUGAAUUUGCCAGCUGAAGAAUGAAGAUUCCACUUUCAUAAUUUUUUUACUAAUCAGUUUGUAUCGGAAGUUUUAAUUGUAACUCCCACAUUGCCCUGUAUUGUCCACAUAAACGAAAAUCUACAUUAUAAAUUAUAAUAGGGCAGUUGUAUCA